CUGGCCUACGGGGGGCAGCAGUGAGGAAUAUUGGUCAAUGGCCGAGAGGCUGAACCAGCCAAGUCGCGUGAGGGAAGACGGCCCUACGGGUUGUAAACCUCUUUUGUCGGGGAGCAAAGCGAACCACGUGUGGUUCAUUGAGAGUACCCGAAGAAAAAGCAUCGACUAACUCCGUGCCAGCAGCCGCGGUACUACGGAGGAUGCGAGCGUUAUCCGGAUUUAUUGGGUUUAAAGGGAGCGCAGGCGGGAGGU
rnacentral:rRNA from 1 species